rnacentral:rRNA from 1 species
AUUGAACGCUGGCGGCAGGCCUAACACAUGCAAGUCGAACGAGUGGCGGACGGGUGAGUAAUGUCUGGGAAACUGCCUGAUGGAGGGGGAUAACUACUGGCAACGGUAGCUAAUACCGCAUACCAUCAUUUGCGCCCAGGUGGGCAUAGCUUGGUGGUGGGGUAACGGCUCACCAAGGCGACGAUCCCUAGCUGUUCUGAGAGGAUGACCAGCCAAACUGGAACGGAGACAAGAGCUAGACGCCUACGGGAGGAAGCAGUGGGGAAGAUUGCACAAUGGGCGCAAGCUGGAUGCAGCAAUGCGGCGUGUAUGAAGAAGGCCUUCGGGUUGUAAAGUACUUGCAGCGGGGAGGCGUUACCCGCAGAAGAAGCGCCGGCUAACUCCGUGCCAGCAGCCGCGGUAAUUC